UGGCAGAAUGCACUUUAGUUGGCUCUAAACCAUCCUACGCGCUAGUCACUUUUCGCGCUCUACUGCGCUGUUCAUAUUAUCCACCAACAUAAAUUUUCCGCGCUUACGUUUCUCGGUCAGUUAGGAGUUGUACAUUUAAACAGCAAUUUCCUUCGUUGUGUUCUGUGCCUUGCAUGCUGACUAUUGCAGUGUACUAUAGCUUCCUUUUCUUUCCCCACUUCGUUUUAUGUGAAGCAAGAAAUGAUUGAUGUGCAGUGAUUUAUACAAUUUAAUUUGAAAAGUUCUUCACUACGUUCUGCGAAAAUGCCAAAACUAGUGCUUAUUUUAUUAAAAACAAGCUUACUCAUUUCAUGGUGCAACUUGUUGUGUGCGCAAAGCAAUGAAAGUUAUGACGGUGAAAACCAGUCGGCAAGUGCUAUUACGAAAAACAAGUACCAGCCAAUAACCAGGCCUAAUGUAAGCAAAGGCUUCGCCACCGUUGGAUCGAGGCACGUUAUAUCAGAAUCAAAGGAUUUGAACCAACUACAUUCCAUCGUGGGAUUGGCACAGCCACAUGCAGCUGCAGUUAAUGUACAGAGUGAUAUAAAUUUGCAAGAUGAAGCAAACACUGGUGCAUUGGUGGGUCCUGACGAAAAAGUUGACGAAAUAAAGGUUCACACUCCAAUGAGCAAUACACGGAACUCGUUUCCUAAGGAGCUUUUUCCUACCACUUCAAUUGAAAUACGUAACAUACACGACAACAUGAAACCGCCAAUCGAUGACGAUAGAUCGAAUGCAUACAAUCAAGUUAUGGUCAGUGCUGAAGAAAAAACAACUGAUGACAGCAUAGGGGACGCGGAUCACGUUCACCAAGGGUCAACUAAAAAGUAUUACAAGUAUAUUCGUAAAGGGACUAAAAAUCAUACGAUCGAGAAUCUGCCUAGCGCAGCUUCAGUUACUAGUGAUCAGGACGUCUCUUCAAAACACAUAAAUUAUUUUCACCUUUUUAUGAACCUUUACGACCAUCACAUGUGGGAUUUAACGUCCAUUAAGCAUGAAUUGAGCUACGACUGUGCCGUUGACAUGGGCAUUUAUUUGUCACAUCUUGCAGCGUCACACUUAUGGGCUAUGAAAGUUUGUGAUGCAUCCGGCCGUUACGGUGGACAAUCCUUUUUUGGAAACGACUUCUGGCUAGGAUCCAAAUCGUUCUGUGAAGAAAUUAAUCGCCUAUACAAAAACGACAACGAAACAUCAUUUGUGGAAAUGACUUUUUUCGUAGCCACAAUUAAAGUGAAAUUGGCUGAAUUUGUUCCUGAUGUCAAGCCUAUGCAACUUGGACAAUGUUUACCAAAAUCUUGUUCAAUUAGAGAUAUCUACCACAUAUUAAGGGAAGAUCCCAUAUCGAAGAAAAUGUUAGAUUCCAACACUUGCCAAACGAUGAAUUCAACCCACUUGAACAGUCCUUCCUGUAUUCUACUAGAUGUAACAAACCUUCGGCUAGUUCCUGGCAGCUACUCAUUGUUAAACGAUAAUCGUUUUUAUUUAUUAAGUUUAACACUGAUAGUCCCUGAUAACUACUGUUAUCUUCGCAACAUAUUACGAAAAUUUCAUUGGAGGAACAAUAGCUGAUGCAAAGAACAAACAGUAGGUCGAAGCAUACAAGCAAAUCGGAAGAUGUAAAACUCUCAAGGUAAUGGAAAACUAGUCGAAUCGGAUGCCAAAGCACUAGAGCUUAAUCAUUUGAGCCAAAACAAUAAUAUUGACGACGGUCCGGAUAAAGAGGCCACCACCACUGCACAUGGUACAAAAGUCGGAAAACAUUUUGGGUCUGAUAUCGGAAAUUCUUCUAUGUUUUGCUGCUGGAUCGAAUUCAAAGACCAUUCUAUCUGUAGAAACGGCAAAUAAGGACUUCUCUUACAUGUAUUCAUGGGUUAAGACUCUAUUCAUUACUUUGGACUAUAAUGGUGCACACAUAUUUGCAGUUGUUUGCCGUUGGAGAAAACCGGGUUGCAAGAAAAAUCACUGAACGAUCUUUCAGCUAUCAAGUGGUGGGAAACGCUACGUUUUCCGUGGACACGUUUUUCUUCAUCAGUGGUGUACUGAUCGUUGUGCUGUAUUUUCGCUCUGCUAAAAAUGAACCGUCAAAUGAAAAACACACCACACAUCUAUUCAACUCAACGGCUUGUUCAAAUAUAUUUCUAUCAAUACUUUACCGCUUCAUUAGGCUCACACCUGCCUAUUUAUUCGUGAUCAUAUUCAACGAACUCGCCCUCAAAUGGACAUAUGGAAGAUCUGUGUUCACACCAGGAAUAAUUGAUCACAUAACAUGUAAUAAGUACUGGUGGCGUAAUAUAUUAUACAUCAACAAUUGGUAUUCAUUUAGUGAAAUGUGUAUGAUAUGGUCCUGGUACUUAGCAAAUGAUAUGCAAUUUUACGUUGUUGCAAUAAUCAUAUUAACAGUAUCGUCAAGAUACAUGAAAACGUCAGCCUUCAUAUUGGGCUUGUUGAUGGUUUGUUCAUGGGCAAUAUCUAUUUUCCUUUCCAUUCAUUUCAACUAUACGUAUAAGGUUGCAGAACCUUUUGAAUCAUUUGAUGUGCUCUAUGACAAGCCAUGGCAAAGAAUCACUCCGUACAUAAUUGGCAUGUUAACUGGAUAUAUUCUUCAUUUCAAGAAAACGCCACCUAAGGUACCAAUGUUAAUCAACAUACUCCUCUGGGCUUGUUCGCUUCUAAUACUCUUCGUAUUGGUUUUCGGAGUAUGGGACGGUGUGCUUUCUGUCCCCAUGACGGCUUUGUACGUGAGCCUUGGCCAUACAGCGUGGGGAGUUGCUCUCAUUUGGAUUACAUUGUCGUGCUGCUGGGGAUAUGCUACACCAAUCAAUAAUAUACUAUCAUACCAAGCAAUUUUUCCUCUGAGUAGACUAUCUUAUUGUGCAUAUUUGUUGCACCCAGUGGUAAUGAUGGCUACGUCGUUCCAAAUGGAAGCACCUAUGCAUUUGCAGCAUGUGAUUGUGGUUACCAUGUUUUUCGGAAAUGCUGUACUAUCUUUCAUUCUGGCGUAUUUUGUUUCGUUAAUAUUUGAAGCUCCUGUUGUGAAAUUGCUGAAACUGGCGUUCAGGAGAUAAACAAGCUUGUAAAGAAACGUUUACAAGACACAUUAGUUACCAUCACGCGUGGCAUGAAGAAGAGCAUCUGGUCUGAUGAUUAUUACAUAGGAAGGUGAUCGUGAUAGCGUAUAAAAAGACUGUUAUUUUGUUUUGAAUUCCAGUAGUUUUUUUUAAUAAAUGACCUAUGAUUAAGAGUU